CUAUGCGCCUUGCCCAGCCCGCUCAGGUGUGCCAGCCGCCGCGGUAAUACGGAGGAUGCGAGCGUUAUCCGGAUUUAUUGGGUUUAAAGGGUGCGUAGGCGGAUUUUAAGUCAGCGGUAAAAUGUCCGGGCUCAACCCGGGCCGGCCGUUGAAACUGGGGAUCUUGAGUGGGCGAGAAGUAUGCGGAAUGCGUGGUGUAGCGGUGAAAUGCAUAGAUAUCACGCAGAACUCCGAUUGCGAAGGCAGCAUACCGGCGCCCGACUGACGCUGAGGCACGAAAGCGUGGGGAUCGAACAGG
rnacentral:rRNA from 1 species